GUAACGGGACAGUUGGAAACAAUAUCGGGACACGUUGCAAUCAUGACGCAAUAAGCGCCUACACAUGCAGACCGUACUUACUAGAAAGUUAAAGAAAACUAAACCAAUAACCACACAAUCUGAAAUUAGAUACAUUGUAAACUCAGGUGCAACGAGGGAAAACGUAGCUAGCUAGAUGAUUCGUUUUUGCAGAGACAUAUUUUUUUAAGCCUCUCAUGACCUAACAUGGCAAACGACAGGUCAAGGCAGGCAAGGGUCGAUAAUCCAGAGUAGGAGCAAAGGUACAGGACGGCAGGCAGGCUCAGGGUCAGGCAGAGUUCAGUAACCCAGAGGUGGAGCAAAGGAACAGGACAGCAGGCAGGCUCAGGGUCAGGCAGAGUGGUCAGGCAGGCGGGUACAGGGUCAGGACAGGCAAGGGUCAAAAACCAGAAGGAAGAGGAAAAAGAGAGGCUGGGAAAAGACAGGAGCUGAAAGGACAAACCCUGUCAUGCUUCCCUGAGCUGAACCCCUCAGAGCCCAGAACAUCUGCAUCGAACAUACACCGCUCUGGGUUGUCAGGGAGCUGCUGCCUUUGGUCUGAGCAUCUCACACAGAAUUAAAAUCCCCCUGAUCAAAAAACUUCAGUCCCAGUGUGAGGUUGUGACAUAGAGAUAGAGUGAGCCCCGAAGUGAUCCGCACUUUACCUGUCUACAGUUGUCCCUCGCGCCGCUCCUCUCCC
rnacentral:lncRNA from 1 species